UGAUGGUUUAAAUGAGAAAUGUCCCUUGUC
rnacentral:piRNA from 1 species